rnacentral:lncRNA from 1 species
AUCUCAGUCUGAACACUUUCAAGGCAUUGACAGUCGCAGAACUGAAAUGAAUGAAGGUUCUAGUCACGGAGCCGUGAGUUGCCAUAGUUUUUGAUGACUUAUUUUUAUUUUUGUUCUCUCCUUACCCCAAGGGGCUUGUCCUGUGCAUUUAACCUUGACACCUAUGAAGUCAUGCAUUUCCAGAGAACCUGGAGGACUGCAGGCACCAAAGAAUGAGGGUAGAGGUAUGCAAUGAAGAAUGAGUCUUCUCUAUCUAAGGACAAAAGAGAAGCAGGAGUCUCAGGAGAUUAGGGUCCAGCUGAGGGCAGAAAGAAGAAGCUUGGUAGAAAUGGUAAGAACGCAAGAAUGGGGUUCUGAAAGCUGUAGAAGGCAGGGAGACAGACAGAAGAGAGAGAAAGCAUCCCUAGACUGUCCAAAGAGGCCUUCAGUGGUCAUACUUGUCAUGAGGAUGCUGUUGUGUUAACACAUGAAAGGCAUUCAGAGAAAUGUCAACAUGUAGUCAGAUCUGAAGAAGUGUCAACCUGAGAGGGAAAAACAUUACCAGGUCACACUUUCCCCAGAGAAAAAAGAGGAGGUGGCUGAUUUACGGGGAUCAAGACUCUCCGGCUCACAAAUGUUCCCAGUCCAUGCCCUUCCUCCUGAUCUCAUCUGGAUUAUUCAGAUCCACAGGAGCCCACAAGCCACCCUGGAAACCUUGAGCCACUCACAACUCCUGGAGUCUGAGCAACCCAUCAGAGGUUGAACCAGGAUGCCUAUAAAAAGCCUUCUGCGUUCCCCUACAUACUCUUCAUGAAUCCUCAGGAAGAAUGGAAUAAGACAAGGGUCAGAGAGCUGGAGCCAGAUACUGAAGAUGCCAGGCUGGCUGGAGGCACUGGCGGCUGCACUGAGAAUUUGGCUCAUGGAUUGAUCUCAA